CCUACGGGUGGCAGCAGUGAGGAAUAUUGGUCAAUGGACGAGAGACUGAACCAGCCAAGUAGCGUGAAGGAGGAAGGCCCUGUGGAUUGUAAACUUCUUUUAUCUGGGAAUAAAUCGUGGCACGUGUCCCCUUUUGUGUGUACCUUAUGAAUAAGCAUCGGCUAACUCCGUGCCAGCAGCCGCGGUAAUACGGAGGAUGCGAGCGUUAUCCGGAGUUAUUGGGUUUAACGGGGGCGCUGGCGGGCUGUAAAGUCAGCGGUAAAAGCCCGGGGCUCACCCUGGGACCGCCGUUGAAACUGGCGUUCUAGAGUGGGCGAGAAGUACGCGGAAUGCGUGGUGUAGCGGUGAAAUGCAUAGAUAUCACGCAGAACUCCGAUUGCGAAGGCAGCGUACCGGAGCCCAACUGACGCUGAGGCACGAAAGCGUGGGUAUCGAACAGGAUUAGAUACCCUAGUAGUC
rnacentral:rRNA from 1 species